AGUGAACGCUGGCGGCAUGCCUAACACAUGCAAGUCGAACGGCAGCACAGUAAGAGCUUGCUCUUACGGGUGGCGAGUGGCGGACGGGUGAGGAAUACAUCGGAAUCUACUUUUUCGUGGGGGAUAACGUAGGGAAACUUACGCUAAUACCGCAUACGACCUACGGGUGAAAGCAGGGGAUCUUCGGACCUUGCGCGAUUGAAUGAGCCGAUGUCGGAUUAGCUAGUUGGCGGGGUAAAGGCCCACCAAGGCGACGAUCCGUAGCUGGUCUGAGAGGAUGAUCAGCCACACUGGAACUGAGACACGGUCCAGACUCCUACGGGAGGCAGCAGUGGGGAAUAUUGGGCAAUGGGCGCAAGCCUGAUCCAGCCAUACCGCGUGAGUGAAGAAGGCCUUCGGAUUGUAAAGCCCUGUUGUUGGGAAAGAAAAGCAGCAGGUUAAUACCCCGCUGUUCUGACGGUACCCAAAGAAUAAGCACCGGCUAACUUCGUG
rnacentral:rRNA from 1 species